AACGAACGCUGGCGGCAGGCUUAACACAUGCAAGUCGAGCGCCCCGCAAGGGGAGCGGCAGACGGGUGAGUAACGCGUGGGAAUCUACCCAUCUCUACGGAAUAACGCAUGGAAACGUGUGCUAAUACCGUAUACGUCCUUCGGGAGAAGGAUUUAUAGGAGAUGGAUGAGCCCGCGUUGGAUUAGCUAGUUGGUGGGGUAAAGGCCUACCAAGGAGACGAUCCAUAGCUGGUCUGAGAGGAUGAUCAGCCACACUGGGACUGAGACACGGCCCAGACUCCUACGGGAGGGAGCAGUGGGGAAGAUUGGACAUUGGGCGCAAGCCUGGUCCAGCCAUGCCGCGUGAGUGAUGAAGGCCCUAGGGUUGUAAAGCUCUUUCACCGGUGAAGAUAAUGACGGUAACCGGAGAAGAAGCCCCGGCUAACUUCGUGCCAGCCGCCGCGGUAACAC
rnacentral:rRNA from 1 species